AAUGAUAUGCCUGAUUUAAAAGGAUUAUUUUGAUAGAAUAAAUUAUACAUUUUUUUAAUGUUUUCAUUA
rnacentral:tRNA from 1 species